rnacentral:rRNA from 1 species
UACGUAGGUGGCGAGCGUUGACCGGAUUUACUGGGCGUAAAGGGAGCGUAGGCGGACUUUUAAGUGAGAUGUGAAAUACUCGGGCUCAACUUGAGUGCUGCAUUUCAAACUGGAAGUCUAGAGUGCAGGAGAGGAGAAUGGAAUUCCUAGUGUAGCGGUGAAAUGCGUAGAGAUUAGGAAGAACACCAGUGGCGAAGGCGAUUCUCUGGACUGUAACUGACGCUGAGGCUCGAAAGCGUGGGGAGCAAAUAGG